UAGAAUUUGUGUGUUGCGUUCAUCUAUUUUACAUUUGGCCAACUAUAUACACCAUCGUGGGUGCGAUCCCAGUAUUUAGGAAUUCCUAGUUUUGCAAGAGUUCUUUAGAGCCCCGCAAUCGAUGUCAAAGCACAAAGUGUAUCUUUGGGGCCAAGGAAAAUAUAUGUGGAAGUUGGAUGCAUGGUUUGAUGUGGAGAAAUAUAGAAGUAAAGUGUUUGCAAGAAUUUCAUAGUGAGUUUUAUUCUCAAGAGGGAAGAAAUGAUGAAUUCUAUCCAAUGGAGAUCCGCGAAGAAAAUUUUGUGAUUUUGCUAUCAAAUAGAGAUUUUUAGGUUUUAUGAUAGCCAAAUUCAUCACCCGUGUUUUCCUAGAAAGAUUGCGUUUAUUAUGUUCUUUGGGCAAAAAGAGAGGGGUUUCUUUAGGAGCAAAGAAUAAGCAUUAAUUAUCUCUUAGAAGGGGAUCAAAGAGAUGGAAUACCCAUCCCUUUUGGGGUUACCCUAUUAUGAG
rnacentral:lncRNA from 1 species